AUGAGCUGGUUCAUCUUGGGCAUCGUUCUCCUUGCCGGAGGUGUGCCGGCGGUGGCGGAGUUCGCCGGCGGCAGCGCGAUGCUCCAGGCCGUGUGUCGGUCUAUGGAGGUGCGCGGCGCAACGAGGAGGCCGCGGUGGCUGCGGCAGCACGGUGAGGAGGCCGCGGAGGACCUGCGAGGUGGCGGCUUCAACGACACACAGCGACAUGGCGGCAUGAAGGCCGCAGCGAUGCAGGGCAAUAAGCCGUGGCGGCGUGCCGGGCGCGACCGGUGCGUGUUAUGGGUGCGCACGGGACGCGUCGGGCACGCCAGGACCGCGGGCGCGCGUACGAGCGUGCGGUUGACGUUGGGAGGAGGCGUAUGUCGCCGUUGUGCUCGAGUCCGUGCUCGAGUUCGGCUACAUCCUUCCGGCGUUUGUCGCGGGCGGCUGCCAUGGCGGACGCGGAGGCGGCGCGCGGUGAGUGUCUAG
rnacentral:rRNA from 1 species